AAGGCAAUUGCUGGGUCAGAUGGUAGUUGUAUGUUUGUUUUGUAAGAAGCUGUCAAAAUGUUUUCCAGAAUGGCUGUAUCGUUUCGUAUUUCCACCAGCAAU
rnacentral:pre_miRNA from 1 species